rnacentral:misc_RNA from 1 species
GAUGAAGAACGUAGCGAAAUGCGAUAAGUAGUGUGAAUUGCAGAAUUCAGUGAAUCAUCGAAUCUUUGAACGCACAUUGCGCCCCUUGGUAUUCCAUGGGGCAUGCCUGUUCGAGCGUCAUUUGUACACUCAAGCUUUGCUUGGUGUUGGGUGUUUGUCCCGCGUUGCGCGUGGACUCGCCUUAAAGCGAUUGGCAGCCGGCAUAUUGGCCUUGGAGCGCAGCACAUUUUGCGCUUCUAGUCAUGAAUGUUGGCGUCCAUUAAGCCUAUACAUUUGCUCUUGACCUCGGAUCAGGUAGGGAUACCCGCUGAACUUAAGCAUAUCAAUAAGCGGAGGA